GGGAGUUGAAAGUUAUACGUGAAUUUUCAACUGCAUGGUGAGGGGCAAGAUCAGUGUCCCUAAUCCCUGUGUUGUUCAAGGCUCACCUGUCUCUUAAAGCAAGUGUUAAUUAGGUUUUCCUUGCUUAUAGCUUCCCUGUUCCUGAUUGAUUGAUGCAGUGACAUAAGGAGUGAGCAAAAGUUGCCAGUUCAAAGAAUACAUUGACUGUACAUUAGUGAAGAAAGAGAUGUUUGAUAAAGCUGCAUCUUGCAAAGACAGGAAAUGAUAGAACUAAAUAACAGAUCUGUCUUCCCCUUUUACUUUCAGAAUGAAUUAAAGAAAUAAUGGAAUAGAUAUCUAUGGCUUCUCAGGUUUCUUGGCUUCAUCUUUCUUGGCUUUAGUUUCAUCAGCCGCAAAAUGGACUAAAUGGCCUCCAAAGUUUUCUUUAGUCCCAGAUGGGGUUUUACCAUAUUGCCCAGGCUGGUCUUGAACUUGUGAGCUCAGGUGAUCUGCGUGCCUCAGCCUCCCACAGUGUUGGGAUUACAGAUUUCUUUUCGAGAUGAAAGACUUGGAUGGGCUUCUCAUAGGAGCAACAGGACCAGAACAUUUAUGAGCCUGCUUGGCCAUGCCUCUAUCCCUGAGCCUGGAGCAGAGUCAUUGCCUUAGUGAAGGUGAAUCUUCUGAUGACCCUGAAGAGACCAUUGGAGGGGCCUCAGGGAUAUUGAAAAGGAGCAUUGCCUUUUUCUAUAGCUACUUAAUACAUCUCUGAGGCAAUUCUCCCUGGAAGGCAGGAAUCCCACCAUGCAGAAUCAACAUGUGAUCAAUCACUGUUCUGUAUGAAGGCACAUUUCUCAGAUCCGCAGAUUGAAUAUGUUUCACUUGAUAGUGGUGGAAGUGAGGCACUAAGGUCUCUGGAGAAUUUGCAGAGAAAUUAUCAGUCCUUCUCCAGACUUUAUAGGACCCUUCAGUUUAUAGAAGAGACUCUGAGAAAGAGCUGAUGCAGGUCUUGGCACUGUGUCAGUCACAGAUGAAGCCAAUAUUUCCCAAGAACUAACGAAUAGGAACAGAAAUGGGGCAGGGAAUAAAAACGAAGGCUCCUCAAAUCUGCCACGGCUGCUGGUUUUGCAAUCACAGGUGCUUCUAUCAGUUCUUUGAGUCACUGUCAUCUGCAGCUCUCAAGCUGUCCCUGCUGCUGUGGAGGCAAGAUGUCACUAAGGGGACUGUUGCCCACGGAUGCUUCGCGGCUGGCCCUGCUUCUGUCACUGUGAAAAAGUGAAGGCUCUGUUACUCACUGCCCUUGGAGGACUCACUGACUCUGGAACCAAUUCUUGUGAUGUCUACAAGUUCCUAUUGUGAAAUCUCAGCUACCACCACCUUUCAGGGCAGAUGUGGACACUUUCAGGCACUAGAGAAAGGCCAUGUGAGGACAUAGUGAGAAGGCUGUCAUCUCCAAGGGUGACAGUCCUCACUGGGAACUAAAUGAGGCAGAACCUUGAUAUUGGGCUUCCAGCAUCCAGAACGAGGAGAAAAAAAUAUCCUAUGAGGCCAGGAGGGUUCUUCCUAUGAAUUUUUUUUUCUCCAAAGAUAUUGUCAACUGGAUUACACAUUUUCCAAAUAAAAUCUCUUAUAUAAGCUUUCCUUGGGAUUUAUCUUUAUUGAAAGUCAUACAACUUCAGAUACAGGCUGAUUUGACCAAACAAAUGACUGUGACUCAGUCUUCUGGUUGACCAUUAUCAUGGAAGAAAACUCAGGUAAUUUCAGAAAUCAUUGUUUUGGGAAGAUAUACUGGAUUAAAGUGCAAGUUGGAUUGAGACAUAGGGACUCUGAAGAAAGAACAGAUGUAUGGCUAUUGGAAUGUGACUGAAAAAUAUCUAAACUGUCAGUGACAAUGACAAUGGAAGGCAAAGAAACCUAUAGGACCAUUUAGAUCUGUCAUAGACUGGACAUGGGAAGAGAAUGACCAGAGGUCAGUAGUUCUUAAAGUCAGUUUGGUCAUUUACAUCUUAAUCACUUGGGAUCUUUGUUAAAAUUCAUAUUCUUGGGUUCUCCUUUGGCUCUUCUGAAAUGGGUGAGACCUGGGAAUUUGUUUUUUCUCAUAUGCUGCCAGAUGAUUCUUAUGCUCUGUAAAGUCUGAGAAGCACUGAAUUCAGAUUUAUAUAUAUAUAUAUAUAUAUAUCAGGUUAUCAAUUAUAAUCAAAAUAGUUCUA